UCCCUAGUAGCUCAGAUGGUAAAGCAUCUGCCUGCAAUGCAGGAGACCCAGGUUCAAUCCCUGGGUCGGGAA
rnacentral:tRNA from 1 species